CAGGCGUCUCCUACUCUGACCCGACCGACGCCGAACUGCUCGCCGCUGCCGACGAGGUCGACCCUCCCAGCACGUCCAGGGACGCCCCGCCAGCCGCGGCCCCGCUGGAAGGACCAGCACCAGGUCCAGGACCAGGACCAAUGGCCACGAGGCCUGCCUCCGGCAAAGAGCUGCUUCCCCUCAGCUGGAGGAAGACGCUGCCUGAGGAGCAGCAGGAGUGUGUGGGCCGGGCGCUGUUCCGCAGGGACCCCAGCAGCGGGAAGGCUGUGCUCACCACACCGCCCCGACUGUGGUGGUACCCGCCAGGCGCCCGGCUCCUC